rnacentral:tRNA from 1 species
GGAAGCGUGGCAGAGCGGAAUUGCACUUCCCUGCUAAGGAAGAGGCUCACUAACGUGGGUCCAUGGGUUCGAAUCCCAUCGCUUCCU